rnacentral:rRNA from 1 species
AUACGGAGGGUGCAAGCGUUAUUCGGAAUCACUGGGCGUAAAGGACGCGUAGGCGGGUUGGCAAGUCAGAUGUGAAAUCCUACAGCUUAACUGUAGAACUGCAUUUGAAACUGCUAACCUAGAGUAUGGGAGGGGGAGAUGGAAUUAGUGGUGUAGGGGUAAAAUCCGUAGAUAUCACUAGGAAUACCGAAAGCGAAGGCGAUCUCUUGGAACAUAACUGACGCUAAGGCGUGAAAGCGUGGGGAGCAAACAGGAUUAGAAACCCUUGUAGUCC